rnacentral:pre_miRNA from 1 species
ACAACAUUCGGACCGUCAGUCUACCGAACAAUAUCACCCGCUCGGUGGAAAAUCUUCCCUGGCAA